CCAGUCCAAACCGGGUCGACCUAGACCUAUUAACCUAGAUGCAGAAAAAGAAAUAACGCCGAGAAGGAGAGCGGCAACAGUGCAAAACAGACUCCCCACCCCUGAAGCUUCAUCUUCCCCAUCUCACCACCUCCAAACGCCAUCCAAGCUCACCCCUCAAAAUCAUAAGACUCGACCCCAGCCUUUGCUUCUUCUUCCUCGAUUAACCUGCAAAAUACAGAGAACGACCCUUCCUGAGGUUUCUUCUUCUUCGAACCAGUAGCGACCCAAGUGGACACGACAGACCCCGUUUUAACAUCCCUCUCUUCCACCUAGAGCAUUCAUAUAUAUGAAAAAGAGGAAACCGGUUGGAGAAGAACGAAACAGGGAGAAGUCGGACUGAAAUUUGACGGAAAUAGAACAGGGGAUUCGAGGUUGCUGGUUUUUGCUUCUUAUAGUCACUUCUCUAUUUUCAUAUUAGUUCAGUUUGUCUUAACUCCAAAUCUGAUUUCAAACUCGAAAAUAUAAUGAAAUUCUAGAUGCACUUUUGGUCGUGGCUUCCGAAAUGGGUUGGAUUUGAAUUGGGUGUUAGCUCGCAGAGUUUGUUUGUCCGAGAGGCGAGGUAGUCCGAUCAGGGAUUCUAUGAGGUUCCGUCGAGGUUCGAUUUGAGAUUGUUGAACUUUGUUUCCGGUUUGAGGUUUGAGUUUAAAUUCCUUCAUAUACAUGUGCUAUUUCAGUCUAUUUAGGAUGCUCUGUUUACUGUGGCAAUGGUAGUGAUAAGAAUGAUAUGAUUUAAUCAUGUUUGUCUAUUGUUUGAGAUUUGUGAAUCACUGUUGUGUACUUGGCUUAGAUGCGUUCAUAAGAAUUCAUACUCGCUAUUUUGAGUAGUUUGCGAGUAUUGUGUAAGCUUUGUUUUUGGGUUUGAAAGUUUUUUUUUAAAAAUUUUUCAGCUUUUUGUGCCUUGUGGUAGUCUUUUAUCUCACUCUUAAAUUUUCCAACUCUAGUAUUGUUAAAGAGGUCAAUAUUUUGGGGUUAAUAUUCUCCUUCAUCAAAUGUACUUGGCUUAGAUGUGUUCGUAAGAAUUCAUACUUGCUAUUUGAGUAGUUCAUGAAUAUUGUGUAAGCUUUGUUUUAGGAUUUUGAAAGUUUUUUUUUUUAAUUUUUCAGCUUUUUGUGCCUUGCAGCAGUCUUUUAUCUCACUCUUAAAAUUUCCAACUCUAGUAUGGUUAAAGAGUUCAAUAUUCUAGGGUUAAUAUUCUCCUUCAUCAAUUUAGAAAUUAAAAGUGUUUGAAUAUGCAGUUUAAGUAAUUUUUUGGUCUAGUGUUAUUGAAGUUAAUUGGAAUAUACUAGCAUCAUGCGGGUAUGAUCAUUAAAAUAUCAUGUUCGUUGUUAGUUCUAAGUUAGAUCUGUGUUCCUUUUCUGUUAAAUCUAAAUGUUAAGUAGAGUGAUUUGUGAUCCAGUAAAUGAGUCAGUGUAUGUCACUACCUUCUCAUGCUUGACUAUGUGCAUUGUUUUUAGUUAUCAUAUGUAUUAGUGUUAAUGUUAUGAUCUGGCAGAACAAUAAUAAAAAGUAGGCUUUGGCAUUUUGUUUGUUGAUAGAGUAAGCGAGGUGCGCCAUGCCAAACAAAAAUGACAAUUGCAUGGCCCUCGUUUGAAUUAAUCUUGUAUUCGAGGCGUGCCACUUAGUAAAAUUUUCAUGGCCCUCGUAAAGUUACUAAUACGUAGUUGCUUUAGGCGCGUCAUUUAAUAACAUUACCUUUCUAAACUCGUGUAUUUAUGUGUCCCAAAUCCAAAUCCCAACAAUGUAAAAUAUGUCGAAGACCGUGGAUGCAUUUAUCUGACGUGGUUCAAGACGUGUUUUAACAGCGUUGCAAUAUUUCUAAAAAUAAAUAAAAGCGAUUAAAGUUAAAAAUUGCGCAUAGGUUUAAAAUGUACUAAAAUCAGAUAAUUAUGUCGAAUAUAAUAGCUGAAUGACCAUGCUAGAACCAUGGAACUCGAAAAUGCCUAACACCUUUUUCCGGGUUAACAAAAUUCCUUAUUCGAAUUUCUGAUUCGCGGAUUGUAAUACAGAGUCAACCUUUUCCUCGAUUCGGGAUUUAAACCAGUGACUUGGGACACCAUUAAUUAUCCCAAGUGGUGACUCUAAAUUUAAUAAAUAUAAUCCCGUUUCGAUUGAAAAAACUGUCUUGUAUACCCUUUCGGGGGUGUAGUGUAAAAAGGAGGUGAGACACUAAUUUGAGCUACAAUUAAAAAGGUUUUUGGUUUAGUUGACACUGGAAAAGCUCCCAGAUAAGAUUUGUAAUAUGGGGAAAGAUGAUAAUAGGCUAUAUAAAAGCAUAUGGGUAUUUGCUUGUUAUAGAAGAAGAGUGGGUAGCGACAUAAUAUUUCAUCCAUAUAGAAGGUGCAUGCGACCUUUGUGGCCUGGCAGGCACUGAUGAAGUUCCUUCAGUUAGAAUGGAACCAUGUCCAGGGGCUGAUGGUUCUACACUUUUAGGAACUUCUUAUAAGUGUGAAUUUUACAGGAAUUGUGUUAUUAAACUUCCCUUGAGAGGUAGUACUAUCAGUGGUCAGGUGGUCACAUUGAAGAUGCGUGUCAACCAACCACAUGAACACUGAUGGUUCUGCACUUUUAGGGACUUCUUCUACAAGUGUGAAUUUUACAGGAAUUAUGUUAUUCAACUCCCCUUGAGAGAUAGUACUAUCAGUGGUCAUGUGGUCACCUUGAAGAUGUAUGUCAACCAUGUCUCCUUCAGAAGCAGCAAGGCCAGCUGAAUGUGAGUCCCCCUGUAAUAGGACUAGAUUUUGUAUAGUGGUACUAUCUUGCAUAGUUUUGUGAUACUGUUUUGAAGAGCUGGAAGAACAUCAACCAUAUCUUCCAUAAAUAUAUCCUCUUCGGUACUUGAAAUUUUUGAAAGGAAAGAUGUGCUCUUUAAAAACUACAUCCCUACGAACAAGGAAGGAUUUACUCUCUAAGUCAUAUACCCUAUAGCCCUUUUAGGUAUAACCAAUGAAUAUUGUUCUCAUUGCUCCAGGGGAAAACUUAUCUCCCCUUGGUAAGCUACUUGUAUAGCAAAACAACUAAAUACCCUCAAAUGCUCUAUAUUAACUUGCUUGCUAUAAAGUAACCCAUAUGGUAUCUUGCCUUCUAAUACAGAUGUUGGUAGUCUAUUUAUCAAAUAUAUUGGAGUUCUCACUCAUUCUCCCCGGAAUCUAAUAGGGACUUCACUUCGAAACUUCAGUGCUCUAGCCAUUUCAAGAAUAUGCCUAUAUUUCCUCUUCAUGGCUCCAUUUUAUUGUGGAGUAUAGGCACAACUACUUUGAUGCACCACACCAAGAGAAGCAAAAAACUCAUUACGUUUGGAGGUAAUAAUUCACUCACAUUAUCAGAUCGUAAAUACUUCAAAAUCAUAGCAAAAUGAUUCUUUACUAUAGAGAUAAAGUUUCUAAGCACGACUACAACUUCACGUUUGGUACUUAUCAAACAUACCCAUGUAUACCUACUAAAAUCAUCCAAUAUAGUAAUAAAAUACUAUUUUCUUUCAUAAAUAGGCACUUUGUAAGGCCCCCAAACAUCUCAAUGCACAAGCUGAAAAAUAUUAAAUAAUUUUGAACUGCUAAUAAGAAGGUGCAAUCUACACUAUUUAGCUAGAGGGCAAAUAUCACAAUCCUCAAUAUCAUUACUACUGAUUUUACUUUGUAAAGUAGGUAAAUGGUAUAUAGCCUUCAAGGAAACAUGUCCCGAUUAGAAAACUGUAUGCCUUUCCACUUAGAUUUGUGCCUGCCAACAUUAAUGCUCUUCCUUUCAACAAUUACAGCCCAUCUGAUUCUCUACAAAUCCUCAGUACCUUGCCCUUAUAAAGCUCCUAAAAUAGUUAGACAUCGGGAUAAAAGUUGUCAGAAUAUCUGAGUUCUUUGGUGAGCUUCGACACUGACGAUAAAUUGAACUUAAAGUCAGGUACAUGCAGAACAUUUUUCACACAGUUUUUUCCUAGAACCAUUGUACUUUCCGCAUGUUUUAUUUCUACUUUAAUCCCUGUUGGGCAGCUGCACUCCACUAUGUUCUUGUCCUAUCAUGCUUCUUUACAUUACUUAAGAUUUCUUUAUUAUGUAAUAUGAUGUAGCAUUCACGUUAAGGUCUAGCUCCUCCACCUUGAAAUGUCUUCUUGCUUUUAAAGUCUGCUGGAUAUCCGAUGAUCUUGUAGCAAUUUUCCUUCAAGUGACCUUUGUAUCCACAAUGGUCACAGAUCAACCAAACUUCUUUGAUUUAAAAAUCUGACCUCUUCCUGCCUUCAUUGUCAAGGGAUCCUUGUUUGUGUCAACGAGUCAUAAUGACCUUUUGAUUUAUUCUUGUGUUACAGUUGCAUAGGCCUCAUUCACAGGCAUUGUAACAAUCUCUGUUGAGCUAAAUGUUCAAAGAUGGUCUAGAUUCCUCAGAGUCAUAGGCAGAGGUUGGAACCAACACAUCUAACUCACUCCACAAAUCAUACAUUUUUGUAUAAUAACUAACCAUAGAGUCUGUAUGCCAUUUCAAACUAGCAGUUUCUGUCUAUACACGAUAUAUUCUCGUCAAGCUACAUCUAUCAAACUUUUCCUUGAAAUCACUACACUUUCUUCGUAUUUGAGACACAAUACUAGGCAUUAACUCUCCUGCAAUAGUGCUUCCCAUCCACGACAACACAAUCACAUUAUAUUUUUUCCACUACUCUACAAGUUCUCCUCUUUAUGUGCUAUUGACAAACGACUCGUCCACAAAUUCAAGCUUUUCCUUUCCUCUCAGUGCUAACUUCAUUGCUCAGUUCCACGAAGCAUAACUUUCUGGCCCUGUGAGCUUGAUUGGGACUUGAACAAGGCCUUGAGCGUCAGAAGCUUGAAGGAAUAAUGGUGAUUGUGCUCAAGUAAAGUCACUUCAUUCCUGUCAUUUUUGCUUCGAUUGAAAAAUUAUGAAUUCCUAAAUUUCAAAAAAUUCUACUUCCUUCCGUCAAAACUUUGAAUUUGAGCCUCGAUUUAAGAUUGAGGCUCUAAUACUAGGCUAAUUGAGCUAGAUUAAGCUAAGUACAACUACAAUUCACACAUGCAACUCACCAUAGCAAUAGAACAGUAACGAGUUCGAGUAAUUAGUUCGAACAGAGAUAAAAGAUAAGAAAAAAGAAAAAAUAUUUUAGAAAUUUGACAGUUAAUUUUAUUUUUUUACAACUGAGAUCCGUGUGAUCUCUUUCAUGUAUUUAACCACCAGUACUCCUACCUCACUAUUUCUCUUUUAUUUACAGUUUGCUACUUUAUGGUUUCUAAUCGUAAGCUUCCUUUAGCCCUUUCACUUCAAUAUUCAUAUUAGCCUUGAUAUUACAUUUCUAUACAUUUCAUUUAUUUGUAUAAGUUGAGACUAGCAGGGAGUUUUACAGAUCCUAACCUUGUAUCCAUACUUGCAAAGGGUAAAAGAAAUUAAAAAAAGAAAGAAAGAAAUGGCUACUAUAAUUAUCAUGGCAUCCUUGUCUCAACAAUCAGUUUGCCACGCUCAUGAAGAGAAAACAGACACGUGGUAACAAUCUUCAUGUGCAGCUUCCCAGUUUGCCACGAUUUAAUUAGCUUACAUCUUUCGGUGCAAUUCUUUGAACACACAAUAGGUGCAUCCUUCAACUUUAUCCUUCUUAAGAAAUCACUUUUCAUGAAUUCCCCAACAUUCAAUUCAGGUAGUACCAAAGUAAGUUCAGAGUUGCAAAUCUUAAAGCUAUAGCUACUCCAUCGAUAUUUAAUUAUAUCAUCAAAUCACAUAACUUUACUAUUGAAGUAAUAUAAAUUAGAAUAAAGAAACUAGUUAAAUAAUAAAAUUUAUACAAAACAGAUGACUUGUUAUCAUUAAUAUCGCAUAAAUGUAAUUCGCUGCGAAUAAGUUUCUCCAGCUGUGAAUAUGCAGCAGAAUGAUAGUACGAUUCUAGUUUAACUUGUUAAUCCAGUUACAGGGUCGGAACAUAGUAAAAUUUAUAUAUAUUUUUUGGUUCAAAAUAAAUAAUUUUUAAAUAUUUUCAUAUAAAUUAAAAAAUUUACCUUUUAAUAUUAAUUAGCAAUAAAAUUAAUCAUAUUAAUAUUUAUUAUCUUACAUAAAUGCUCCUAAUAUAUAUCUCAAUGCUAUUUAUUUUAUGGAUAAUAUAGAAAAAAAUAAUUAAUUAAUUUUUAAAAUUUAAAAAAAUCAGAAAAAGCUAAAAAAUUAUUUAUUCGAAGUAGUAUUUAUCUCAUAAUUAGAGCGCGUUUGGAUAUAUUUGUUUUAAGUGAUUUUUAAAACAAAAAUUAUAAGUUAAGAAUUUUAAUUUUUAACCUGCUUAUUUUUAUCAUUUUAACUUAAGAACAAAUAUUUAAAAAUAUUUUUUCACAUUAUCCAAAAACUAUAAAAUUAUUUUAAAAUUGCUUUAGCUUAAAAAUAUUUAAAAUAAGCCAAUUCUCUUAAUCGCUACUUACGACAAUUAUUAACAAUAUUUCAUGCAAGAAAUCCAUGGAGUUCUUUCAUUUCAUGAACUAAGUUGGAGAAAGAAGAAAAGAUCCGUUGUGGAAAAGUACUAACACAAUAAUCAACUCAAAAACGAAAGAGGAAAGACUAAUUAAAAGAAGUGAUUAGAAGUAUAUAUAUGAUAUUAAAAAUUAACAAGAUAUUUCUGUUUUCUUCAAAUCCGAAGGGGAAACUCCAGAAGUAGCCAUAUUUUCAGCUACCCAGGCUAAAGAUCUAAGUUGCCAUCCCAAGAUAUUAUCAGUCACCUCACAUGUAUCAUCUUUACAACUAUUUUCAGGAAUAUCCACAACAUAAGACUCAAUAACCACUGUCUUUCUCAAUGCGUUGCAAUCAUCUUCUUCUUUAUCCUCAUGCAAAGUGAUAGUAGAUUUGAAGUUCAAGAAACUGUGAUCGGCUUCAACAA
rnacentral:lncRNA from 1 species